ensembl:lncRNA
GGCUCCUGGAGCUGCCACCAAACAAAUAAAGAAGGGUGAUUUUCCAGCAUGAGCCCAGUAAAUCUGUGCUUUUGGCCACUUCUGUGUUUAAUCUGGCUAAGGAGGGGAGCUGGGGGCUGCACUGCACCACUGAGUUCUCUGCUGGAUCUCGUGGCUCUGGGAAUUGAAGAACAAUGCUGGCAUUUGUUGUUUCUCUCAUAAAAUAGAUAAAUCAGCACUGUCUUGACAAAUCUCUUGAAAUAACUCACAAAUGGAUGGUUCCUCUGCAGGAACAAACACACUCUGAGGUCACUCUGCUCCUCUGCAUCUGCAGGCAUUCUGGGACAGCAAAAGGUAAAGAUUCAUUUGAUUUUAUACAAAUUUAAGGAAAAUCUCCAUAUUUUCAGUCUUUAAAUGAUCUCUGCAAUGCCAAGUCAUGGCUAUAACAAGGUCUGAUUGCUUUGCUGAUCAAAUCUCAUCUUAGCAGUGCUCUGAUGGAAAGAUAUUAAUGAGUUCUUGGCUGCUACUCUUUUUUCUGUCAGACAGGAAGAUAAACUGGAGCAGUUUAAUUGGGAAAUGGGCACUGGAGCAGCAGCAGCACGGAGUGUGGGGCACAGAUCCCAUCUCCUGUCUCUUGCCACUGGUACCUGGAGCAUUGUCCAACCUCUCUCUCCAGCAAUCCAGACAGAAGUAAGAGGAAAUGGAAUAAAUCAGCUCAGGCUGCUCUGGCCUUUCUGCAAGAACUCCACGGGCUGGCACAGCUCUGCAGCACAAGCAGCAGCUGGAGAGGCUCUUGCUGCUUCUGGGAAACACUGCAGUAACACAAAAUUCAGGCCAAGCCUGGAGCUCUGCAAUGGAACAGAUUCAAUUCCUGCCAUCAGAAGGAGGCAGAUUCCUGAGCUGCUGCUGAGUCUGGGAGGGGAAUGAGGAGGCCACCCCAGUGCAGGAGGAGAAAUAAGAGACUGCUGAUGAGUUGCAUGGAAAGGUCAGAAUUGACAGCAACUGUAAAGAAGAACAAAACAGCUUUAAAACCUCAUCCCUUUCUGAUGAUAAAUAAAAAGCAUCAUCUCAAUUAUUUUGCUCUUCCG